AAAUUCUAGUGAGUUAGGAGCCACGACAAUUGUAGAACACACAGUGUUUAACAAGUAACGCAAUAAA
rnacentral:rRNA from 1 species